UUCUUGUUUCUCUUCUUUUCGUUUUUCUUCUUUUCUUUCUUCCUUCAGUCCUUACUUUUCUAAGAGAGAGAGAGAGAGAGAGAGAGG
rnacentral:ribozyme from 1 species